rnacentral:rRNA from 1 species
UACGGAGGGUCCAAGCGUUAUCCGGAAUCAUUGGGUUUAAAGGGUCCGUAGGCGGUUUUGUAAGUCAGUGGUGAAAGCCCAUCGCUCAACGGUGGAACGGCCAUUGAUACUGCAAGACUUGAAUUAUUGGGAAGCAACUAGAAUAUGUAGUGAUAGCGGUGAAAUGACUUAGAUAUUACAUGGAAUACCAAUUGCGAAGGC